AGUUCUGGAUAAAGCUUAUUAUGAAAACUUUAUAUCCAUAGGUCUCGACCAAAUCUUGUGCCAGCAGUCGCGGUAAGACAAGGGAGACGAGUGUUAUUCAUCUUUAACAGGUAUAUAGGGUACCUAGACGGUGUGCAAUGGCUUAAAUAAGUACCUGGUACACUUGAGUUUGAUAUGUGAGAGGAAUAUGUCGGAAUUGUUGGAGGAAAGAUGAAAUUUGUUAAUACCAAUAGGACUGAUAACGGCGAAGGCAAACCUCUAUGUACAUGUACUUGCUAUCUCUAAAUUAGAGAGAAAAACAGCAAUGUGCUAUAACUGACGUUGAGGGACGAAGGCUCAGAGAGUGAAGAGGAUUAGAUACCCCCGUAACCUGGGCAGACAAUGAUGAGUGCCAUAGGUUGGCUUUAAGGCGGAACUAUAAAUGAAAGUGGAAGCACUCCACCUCAAGAGUAAUGUUGC
rnacentral:rRNA from 1 species